rnacentral:tRNA from 1 species
GUCCAGGGUAGCCUUGUGGUCAUGGCAUCUGCCCGGUAGCGGAAGGUCGUGGGUUCGAUUCCCAUCCCAUCCC